rnacentral:tRNA from 1 species
GCCUCUUUAGCUCAGUUUGGUUAGAGCACAACAUUGGUAAUGUUGAGGUCCUGAGUUCGAACCUCAGAGGAGGCU